rnacentral:lncRNA from 1 species
GAAGGCAUAAAGAAGGAAGCUUCACGUCAAUAGCAUAGUAGGGGUGAAGAUCGCCAGCCUGGGUGAUGAAUUCUGGAUCAGGGAAACAGAUUAUUGCAGAUAGACAAUGUUUUCAGUAAAACCCAGAGGACCAGUAUCUUCUAUAGAAAGUGGGAUGGAAGUAGCCACAGCCAUAACCACCACAGCCUCCAAGACCAUAGCCAGAACCAUAGCCAUAGCCCAGGCCACUAAAACCACCAAGGCCACAGCCAAGGCCGCCAUAGUAGUUGCCGUAGUAGUAGCUCAUUGUGUCAGAGGUUGAGGAGACAGUUGGAAGUUGAAGGUGAGUUUCCUGAGAAUGAGUAUCAGCAGCCUCACCCGGACUUUUAUACUCCCUCAGUGUGGGUGUGGUAAACCACAACAAAGGAGCCUCAUUCUUUUUGACAAUGUCUCUUUGUUGAAAAUCAGUCCUAUUAAGCCCUGCCUUUCUUAUUAGGGAUAGUUUAAAAUAUGUUAAAAUAUGUGUGGUAUGUUUUAUUUUUCCUUUGAAAAUAUUUCAACUUUCAUUUUCUUUUUG